rnacentral:rRNA from 1 species
GAAUCUGCCUGGCAGUGGGGGACAACGUUUCGAAAGGAACGCUAAUACCGCAUACGUCCUACGGGAGAAAGCAGGGGACCUUCGGGCCUUGCGCUAUCACAUGAGCCUAGGUCGGAUUAUCUAGUUGGUGGGGUAACAAGGCGACGAUCCCAAACUGGUCUGAGAGGAUGAUCAGUCACACUGGAACUGAUACACUGACCACACUCCUACCGGAGGCAGCAUUGGGGAAUAUUGGACAAUGGGCGAAAGCCUGAUCCAGCCAUGCCGCGUGUGUGAAGAAGGUCUUCUCAUUGUAGAACUCUUUACGUUGGGAGGAAAGGCAAUCUGACAACACCUUGSUGUUUUGACUUUCCCAACUGCCUAAGGACCCGCUACCUCUGUGCCAACUUCUCCGGUAGUCCAGGCCUUGCAAGGGUCAAUCCGAAUCACUGAAUUAAAAGCAUGCGUAGGUGGUUGUGCGGUUGGAUGUCAAAGCCUUGAGCUCUACCCUGGCAGUGCGUACUCC